CACACUGGAACUGAGACACGGUCCAGACUCCUACGGGAGGCAGCAGUGGGGAAUAUUGCACUAUGGGCGCAAGCCUGAUGCAGCCAUGCCGCGUGUGUGAAGAAGGCCUUCGGGUUGUAAAGCACUUUCAGCGGGGAGGAAGGCGGUGAGGUUAAUAACCUCAUCGAUUGACGUUACCCGCAGAAGAAGCAGCGGCUAAGUCCGUGCCAGCAGCCGCGGUAAUACGGAGUGUGCAAGCGUUAAUCGGAAUUACUGGGCGUAAAGCGCA
rnacentral:rRNA from 1 species